GCUAUUCAUGCAAGGGUUUGGGUACAUGUGCUGAUCCAACAAAGUACAUAUUCUGGGAUGCAGUUCAUCCUACAGAGAAGAUGUAUGAAAUUCUUGCCGGUGAGGCUAUCAAAUCUAUUGCUUAUUAUAUUUCCACCAAGGGUUAAGGUUAAUGUGUGCCUUUUCUUGCUAUGAAUGCUUUAGAAUGUUGAUUAGUAGAAGAGAUGUUGUUUUAUUACGUUUGA
rnacentral:misc_RNA from 1 species